AUGGAGGUGCCGGGCUUCGCCGAUUCUCCGUGCCGCCCGAGGAGCGCGCGGUACGCGGUGAAGGGGUACCCCAACUACGCGGAGGAGCCCGACUUCUGCGGCCCCGCCACGCCGUGCCGUCCGCGGACCGCGCGGCAUGCCCGGAAGGGGUGCCUCGACUACGCCGUGCCGCCCGAUGCCCGCGCCGUCCACGCGCCGUGCCGCCCACGGAGCGCACGGGACGCCGACAAGGGGUGCCUCGACUACGCCGAGCUGCCCGACGUCCGCUCCUCCGCCGCGCCGUGCCGUCCACGGAGCGCGCGGUAUGCCGAGAAGGGGUACCCCGACUACGCCGAGCCCGAUGACUUCACCGACCCCGCGCCGCGCCGCCCACGGAGCGCGCCGCACACCGAGAAGGGGUGCCCGGACGACGCAGGGUCCGUCGGGCGCCUCGGGCACAAGAGGGACGAGGGAGGCGUCCCGGUAAAGAAGCCGGUGCUGCAUUACGUAAGGAGGAAGCAGAGGGAGGCUGCCAAGGCCGCGGAGACGGCGGUGGACAUGCUCGUUCCGUUGCUCCAGGGCAUGGAGGUGGAGUCCGACGCGGUGGCGCUGGACGGGAGAAAGAGGCGCAGGACGGUCACCGCGCCCAUGGCAACGGCGAUGACUGCAUGCGAGGUUUUGGCGCUGCCCAAGGACAACGAGGAGGUGGCGCCCGUGGAUGGUGGGGCCGAUGAGCAUGGCGGUGGCGGCAAGAGCUGGAGGUUGCGUGUGAAGGAAACGCUGCGGGCUUUCAGCAGUAAUUACCUUCACUUUGUGCAGGAGGAACAGCAAAGGGAGCAGGCUGUAAGGCAAGAGCUGAAGGCCUCCAGGGCUCUCAAGCGUCAGACUAACAACCAAGAUGACGAAGAUUUUGAAGAAGUCAAACGGCCAUCAAAGCGCCCUGAUCUGAAAGCAUUAACAAAGAUGCAAGCGACCAAUGCCGUACUUUAUCCAGAGAAGAGGAUAGGGCAUCUUCCUGGGGUUGAUGUUGGAGAUCAAUUCUACUCACGUGCUGAGAUGGUUGUGCUAGGCAUACAUGGCCAUUGGAUGAAGGGUAUAGAUUAUAUUGGUUCAAAACAUCAAGAUAAGCCAGGGUAUCAAGAUUUAAUUUUCCCUCUUGCCACCUGCAUUGUAAUGUCGGGGGCAUAUGAAGAUGAUUUUGACAAAGCUGACGAAAUUAUUUACACUGGCGAAGGAGGGAACAAUUUGCUUGGCAACGGUCACCAGAAAACUGAACAAACGUUGCUUCGGGGAAACUUGGCACUGAAGAAUAGCAAGGAUAAUGGCAACCCUAUACGGGUUAUUCGUGGGCAUAUAGAAAAGAACAGCUACACUGGAAAAGUGUACACCUAUGAUGGAUUGUACAAGGUAGUGGAUUGCUUGUCAGAGAAAGGAGUGCGCGGGCAUUUGGUUUUCAAAUUCAGAUUGAAGCGUCUUGAAGGUCAACCACCUUUGACAACUUCCAGGGUGCUGUUUAAUCGUGGAGAUGUUCACAUGCCAAUUUCUGAAUUACCUGGGUUGGUUUGUCGGGACAUCUCUUAUGGGCAGGAGAACAUUCCAAUUCCUGCUACAAAUUUAGUUGAUGAUCCUCCUGUUCCUCCAUCUGGCUUUGUGUACUCUAAGUCACUGCAGAUUCCAGAAUAUAUCAAGAUGCCAGCUGACAGUAUGGGUUGCAAUUGCAAAGGAGAUUGUUCUAGCUCUACACACUGUUUGUGUGCUGAUCGCAAUGGCUCUGAUCUACCAUAUGUGUCCACACAAAAGAAAGUGCGUGCUAAGCAUCUGGAUUCUACACAUAAGAAUGUUGGAAGGUUGGUGGAGCCCAAAGCAGUUGUGUUUGAGUGUGGUGCUAAUUGUAGCUGCCACUGCAGCUGUGUAAAUAGAACAUCCCAGCAAGGAUUGCAAUACCGCCUAGAGGUGUUCAAGACUGAGUUAAAAGGUUGGAGUGUAAGAACGUGGGACACUAUUCUUCCUGGGGCACUCAUCUGUGAAUACACUGGGGUACUGAGGAGAAACGCUGAAGUUGAAGGUUUGCUGGACAACAACUACAUAUUUGAUAUAGACUGUCUUCAGACCAUUAAAGGCCUGGAUGGGAGGAAGCAAAGGUCUGGCUCAGAACUGCAUAUGGCAUCUCUUCAAGACGAGCAUGACUUGGAGGCUUCUCAAGCCCCAGAGUAUUGCAUUGAUGCUGGUUCCAUUGGCAACAUUGCGAGGUUCAUAAAUCAUAGCUGCCAACCGAACCUUUUCAUCCAGUGCGUAUUGAGCUCACAUAGAGAUAUCAAGCUAGCAAAAAUCAUGCUUGUUGCAGCUGAUACCAUACCACCUCUUCAGGAACUCUCGUAUGACUACGGGUAUGGAAUGGACAGUGUCAUUGAUCCAGAUGGCAAUGUUGUCAAGUUAGCUUGCCAUUGUGGUGCCUCUGACUGCCGAAAGUGGCUCUAUUAG
rnacentral:rRNA from 1 species